rnacentral:rRNA from 1 species
AUUGAACGCUGGCGGCAGGCUUAACACAUGCCAGUCGACCGAGUGGCGUACGGGUGAGUAAUUCUUGGGCAUCUCGCUUAUGUAGGUGGAUAACUACGGGAAACUGUAGCUAAUACCGCGUACCAUAGGAUGAGCCCAAGUGGGAUUAGGUAGUUGGUGAGGUACAGGCUCACCAAGCCGACGAUCUCUAGCUGGUCUGAGAGGAUGACCAGCCACACUGGGACUGAGACACGGCCCAGACUCCUACGGGAGGCAGCAGUGGGGAAUAUUGCGCAAUGGGGGCAACCUGACGCAGCCAUGCCGCGUGAAUGAAGAAGGCCUUCGGGUUGUAAAGUUCUUUCGGUAGCGAGGCGUUAACUACAGAAGAAGCACCGGCUAACUCCGUGCCAGCAGCCGCGGUAAUAC